rnacentral:lncRNA from 1 species
GAUUUGAUCUUCUUUAUUCUUUUCUUUUUAAUUUCUUUGUUUAAUUUCUUUUCCCCACCUUGUUUGUUAAUUAGCUAAUAGUUAGUAAGUAAAUAAUUACAAGAUUCUAACCAUACACUAUAGACUUACUCAUAGUUGAGUCCUUGGAUUGAUCCUUGGUUAUCCCUCUACUACAUUAGUGGGAAACUGAGUUUGUUGGCUUUGAUGCGACUAAAAGCGAGUUUAACAGUGGUUUAGUGGAGAUGAUGUGAUGUUUAAUGGCUCAAAAAGAGGUUGGACUAACUCAAUGAGGAAGGUGACUAGAGGAGUCUCUAGGGUUGCUCUAGUCUUGAUCAAGGACAAGUAUUAUGGCAAAAUUUGGGCAACAUAACAUUACAUAACAUCCAAGAUGAUUACAAGAGAGGAGACCCUCUACAUAUAUAGACCAGGGUGUCUCCUAAAAACUCUAAAAGUAUAAUCUCCC